AAACUUUCAGCAACGGAUCUCUUGGCUCUGGCAUCGAUGAAGAACGCAGCGAAACGCGAUAAGUAAUGUGAAUUGCAGAAUUUAGUGAAUCAUCGAAUCUUUGAACGCACAUUGCGCCCGCCAGUAUUCUGGCGGGCAUGCCUGUCCGAGCGUCAUUA
rnacentral:rRNA from 1 species